UCCAGUAUCCAUUUCGGGGCUAAGGACACGCCAUCGUCGCCCCCACCUGCCGUCGGUGGCCCAGCAGCCCGUGGCCACCGUCCAGCCUCCUCCACUCCCUCCCUGCCAGGUCGUCGUGAGGCUCGCCGUCCACGCGCUCGACCUCGUCGCGGCCCAGGCGCGCCGCCUCGUCUGGCUCAAGACCGACACCGAGCGCUCCUUCCUCAUCGGCAGCUCCGUGCCCAAGUCCUCCCUCGCACGCAUCACCGAGAACACCAAGUCCGGGGACGUCGUCGUUUUCAUCUCCACGACCCGGCUCUGGCCCCUACAUCGCCAGCCCGUCGUGCUGGGACGGCGAGUGGCCGCGUGCGGCAUCACGGCCAGUUGAGGCCUCGCGGAAUCGCGGCAAGUCGAGGGCUCGCGGAAUCGCCGGCCGGGACGAGCGCCAAGCGUCCUUCCUUGUUGGCUACGGGGGGUGGUAGCUCCCGGUAAACCGGCCUCGCGGAUGUGGACUCCGUGUACGGUCCUGUUCUUAGGAUUUGCUUCCAUUUGUGCAGUUGACUGUGAUGGAUGGCAAAGGGUACGUUAGCCUGGAGGAACUGGAGGAAUAUAAUAGAGUGAUAAAUCAGACUUUUAGGCGGGAGAAGGAUUGUUAUGAGUUCUACAAUUCGAAUGUAGAGUUGAAAGGCUUCAGCGUGAGAAAGGACAAGGUCAGGAAGAAACCAGGCACCAAGGAUGUGAUAUGGAGGAGGUUAUGCUGUUCCUGUGAAGGAGACAGGUCAUUAGAAUCCUUUGAGAGAACCUAUAAAUAAAGGGUGCCAUGGGCAUUUACCCGGUGUGGAUGCGAAGCUAAGCUCGACAUCCAGCUGAGUGAAGCUAACGGUCUAUGGUUUGUUAAGGAUUUAUUGAUAUCCAUGAUCAUCUACUUGCAAAACCCCAGCAUGUUUUUGUACUGCAGUUUCACCGUGGGCUAAGCAAUCCUACUACAAUGCCUUCGAUGAUGUUGCCGUCUUCGACAGUACCUACCGCGUGAACUGGUACAAUCUUCCCUUUGUCCCUUUCAUAGGAAUUGACCAUCAUCGUAGUACAAUGGUCUUUGGUUGUGGUAUAAUUCCAUAUGAGACCGUUUCUUCAUAUGUGUGACUGCUUGAGGCUUUGCUGGAGGCGAUGCAGCAGAAACAUCCAUUAUCAUUGAUCACAGAUGGGGACUAUGCAAUGUCGAGAGCAAUUCAGAUUGUUAUACCUGAGGCAGAUCACCGGUUGUGCAGCUGGCAUAUAGAGCAGAACAUGGUUAAAUACCUCCGCGGUCAGAAGCUUAGUGACUUUAGAAUUCAUCUACCAUGCAAUGGAGGUUGAUGAAUUUGAGAGACGUUGGGUACAUUUUAAGGAGACUCAUAACAUCACAGAAAAUGACGUAUGGAUUUGGUGGAUGUACGAACUUAGGAAAAAGUGAUCCGUUGCAUACACUAAAGGAAGACGUUUUUGGGCAUGCAGAGCAAUCAACUAAGUGAGAGUUUGAACUUAAAGGCUUCACAGACCGGCAAAUGUCACUGGUUGAUUUAGUGGAGCAUUACAAGUUUUUCUUGUCACAUCCGUAGGAAUGAGGUUGACCUUGAUGCGAAAGCUUUGGUGUUUGUCCCCUUCACAGAGAUAAUUGCUGACCUAUUUGAGAAAAGGGCUGCGUGUAUUUUCACACCGACGAUCUUCUCGAUGGUCAGGGAGCAAAUUGGGAGACUAUCUAAAUGGGAGGUCACGGAAGUGAUGGGGGAUAAUGGUUCUCUCAGGUAUGAAGUUGCAUCAAAAGCUAACAGUGAAUGAUGGGUUCAUGUGACAUGUACUUUUGAUGGCUCUUCGAUGCUGAAUGCUAGCUGCCCUUGCCGAAUGCUGGAGUGAGAAGCUAUUCCAUGGCACACACAUUUUGAGUGGUUUGAGGUCUGUCCAUCAGACACCUUUCCUACUUGUUGUGUUAUGCUUAGGUGGACGAUGCAAGCGAAGAGCGCAUGCCCAUUAGAUGGAGGUACCAAUACGCAGGUCUGGUUAUAACAAAUGGAUUAUUGCCGUGGCCUACAUCACAAGGGUAAUCUUGCUUUUUCAAAGCUUCAAGGACCGUGGAGGAGACGGAGAGGGUGAUGCGGCCCUUUGGGCCUUUGCCUGCGCACUUUUCAGGGGCAAACUGACCCUUUACAAGCAAAGUCCUUGAUCCAAAGAAGAUUAUUACGAAAGAUGCUCCUCAAUCAAAUAAGAUGUGGAAGCCAUACCAAGAAUCCUUGAGGAGAAAUUAACUUUAAAACUUCUGGUACCAUCUCGAGGUCAGAUUUCGUCACCCCCAAAGUCUUUGAUUCCUUCAUGUCAGUUCAGGUUGCAAAGUCUGCUGUCAAGAAGAGCAGGAUCAUUGGAUAGAGUCCAACUUCUCCAUAGUCUGAAGUAAAGCAGAGUUUCUAGAUGAGUUGUUUGAAGAUGUGAUAAGACUAUGAGAUUUCUGAUUUUUCUCCUUUCUUACAAUAAUAUAAUAUUCUGAAUUUCCUAUGUAAACUGAUAAGUGGUUGUCUUCUUGCCAAUAAAUAUCAUGGGGAGCCAUUGGUACUUAGCAGUUAUCAAUGCCAGACUACGUAAGAUAUAGGUUCUCGACUCACUAGGGCGGGAAAUCGUCAGGACCUCCAUACUAUGCUGAUGUGACUGCAGAAUUAUUUCAACAAUGUAGCACUACAAAACGGAUCUAAGGACCAUAAGUGGAAGGACCUCAAAGUUACAUCUUGGCCAGUCACAGAAGAAUUGAAAAGCCCAAUGCAGACAGAUGGAUCAUCCUGAGGUUUAUUCAUGCUUAAGUAUACAGAAUGCUGGACUGGAACUAGGCCAUCUCCCAUUUUUACAUAGUGCACAGGAGGACAUAGACCAUUUUAGACUCUAAGCUGAACAAAAUCAAAGGAGGUCCUAAGUCCUUCCAAACUGAUGGCAAGCAAACGAUGAAGAAGAGGUUAUAGCUAUAGAUUAAAAUAGUACUUGAGCACCAACUUCAGGGCCAUGCUUUGCCUGUGGGGUGGAAGUCAAAGCCCUAACCAGAUGUGGAGGGGCAGCCAACCGAUAAGAUCCUGAAGGAGAUAUAACAGGCUCGGAAGCAAACGGUAAUGGUGAGGCUUUAGGUGGAGAAACGAAUGGCGAGGGCGAUGGAGCAGGCACUGGUGUUAGUAUUUGCCCUUGUCUAUCCUUCUUGUGCUUCUUGUGUACAGGAUUGUGUGUAAGUGGUUGGGGAAAUGCAGCAGGAUGGUUUCCACCGCCAAUCUGCAUUAACCUUGCAAAUUGAAGCAAAUGCAAAACAGUGUUUGCUACAUUGAAGCAGAAAAAUGACAGAUAUGUAACUUUGUAAAUCAUAUUUCCAGUGUUUAAUACGUACGGCCGAUGUGUGAUUCAAA